rnacentral:rRNA from 1 species
ACCUGGUUGAUCCUGCCAGUAAUAUAUGCUUGUCUCAAAGACUAAGCCAUGCACAUGUAAGAUCGGCAUAGGCUUUAACUGGUUUCGAUCAGUUUUGCUCAUUGUUAAUCUGUGGACAGCUCAUUAUAACAGUUAUACACUUAGCCACUGGUACGAUUUGGCGCAAGCCAAUACAAAGAUAACUUUGUCAAAUGCAGCGAUAAUACUUGAGUGACGAAUCGGUGCAAGCCGAUUGGCAUUAGCGUAUAUAUCUCACGAUUGUGAGGAAACCGCGCUACUGUAACUCUUGGUUUACUGACAGGCUUGCCUGUUAGUGACCGGAGCGUCGACCAUUAGGAGUGCGCAAGCACAAAAAGUUUGUCAGACAGUGUUUUAAUAAGGCUCUGUAUGGUAGCUUUUACUAGUGGCCAGGAAGAGGUGUUUCUUAUCUAUCAGCUGAAGUUGUUUCAGUAAGGGUAAAACACGGCGAUUACGGAUACGGGGGAUCAGUGUCUGAUUCCGGAGAGGGAGCCUGAGAAAUGGCUACUACAUCUAAGGACGGCAGCAGGCGCGAAAAUUACCCAAUCUCAAUUCGAGGAGGUAGUGACAAGAAAUAACAACUUUACACCAAUAGGUGGAAAGGUACUAUCUAAUAGUUUGGAAUGGUUUUAGAUUAAAAUUCUAUUAGAGUAACGACUAGAGGAAAAGUCUGGUGAAACUGUCGCCGGAAAGAGUUCUCCAGUAAUGGAAGAGCUAGUUGCAAUGACCACUGGUGAUUUAGUGGUAGCAGCGAAAUGACCAAAUUGCGGGAAGUCCUCCAUAAUAGUUUGCAGUACCGUUCUUUAUUGAACUAUGGUGGGAGAAAAACCCAUCUGAUGGUAAAAAUCUGUCAAAUUUCGGAUAAUCCGCAGCUGUUCUGAGAAAAUACUCUACUUGUCUUUUGAUUUCUUUGUGCGAUGGGGUUUAUGAUUUAAUCAGCCAAAACGGGAUCCUUGUUUGAGGGUAUAGCCAAUUAAUACUUGGUGAAGUAACCGUACUAAAUUCUUUUUCAAGAAAGAAUGGAAUGUCUAGAGACUACACGGCUGAGCGAUUUAGUAAUCAUAAAUGGAUAGUCCUCAGUAAAUCAUCUGAGCAUCCCAUAUAAAAUGGUAAAGUAUGUACGUGUACCUUUGGGUCAUGUACUAAAUCGCAUAAAAGGGCACGGCGUGCUUCUUAUGCGUUCGAGUGCAAAGAAACCAAAAUCAAGACAAGUCGUAAUCAAUCGAGAGAGAUUCAGAGAUGGUUUUGACGUAUUAGUCAAAACUAAUUAUCAAAAAAAAGCUUAUAAAAAGGUAAAAAAUGCCCCCAAUGCAAAAGACCCAAUUGUUAAAUCAAAUCUUACUCAUGCGAAAAAAUCUAAAAAGAUUUUUAAUGAAUGGUUAGAUAACGAGAAGGGAGAUAAAGCAAGGAAUGGCAAGCAAAAACCAUAUGUCUAUGAUACUUUAACGAAAGUAUCAUGUUGUGAACACGAAUUUGGCGAAUGUUUAUUAGGUUGUGCUAACAAGAGUAAGGGUGGAUUUAAAUGCCAAUUUGCUUCAAAAAAAGGAAGUGAUGGUUAUGUUCAUCAUGUCAGCAUGCUGGCAAACUCUCAAAGUGCACAGCCAAUACAUGAACUAGAAUUGCUAAAGAAAGUAUCACAGAAAAAGCGACAAGAAAACGCAUACAGUAUUUCCCACAUAUGUGGGAAUGGUGGAUGUGCACGACCAGGUCAUCUUAUCAUAGAAAAGAAAUUUUUUAAUGAUGAACGCACCAGUUUGUCAUCGUUUUCUGCGCAAAUGUAGACAUAAAUUGGAAUCACGUAUAAUUAGACGUUUGUGUAAUCAUACUCCAAAGUGCUUUGUAAAUACCUAUAUAAAUAUAAAAGGCUAUUAUUGAUAAUAUUUUUUCAGAAUUAGUUCAGAGACUAAAUGGUUGUUGACAUGUAUAAUUUAUCUAAAUUAUAUAUGCCUAAGAUAUAGUCCAAUCCCAUCCAAUGGAAAAGGAUGAGCUUAUUGCAAGGAUGCUAAUCACAUCCCCAGAAUAAGAAUCAGGUAGAGAUGGCCAGCACCCGCGGUAAUUCCAGCUCUAGUAGCGUAUAUUAAUACUGUUGUAGUUAAAACGCUCGUAGUUGACCUAAGGACUGUAAGCUUGAAUUCGGUAUUGGCGUGCUUCCAUGUAGUUCCGUGUUAUAACGGGAUUGCGGGAAGUACUACCGGUAUCCAUGGCAUCUUUCCCUUUGGAUUCUGUCCAAGGGUGUUCAGGUGUGGGUUUUUGCUUGUAGUCCGAUCCUUGCCACCGGUUCGCCGUUGGUAAAGGCCUUGUGGUACAACUGUAAACAAAUCAGAGUGCUCAAAGCAGGCAUUGUUAAUGGGGAUUUAUCUCCGGUUUUGCUUGAAUGAUUUAGCAUGGGAUUGUCUUGGAGCCGUGAAUAGUGCCUAUUCAUUUUGGGUAGGUUUCUGUUCACUGGCGCUUGUAAUGUGAAGCAGGGAGAGGGCUCAAGUACUAUGGUGCUAGAGGUGAAAUUUAGAUACCAGCAUAUGACUUUCUGAUGCGAAAGCUGUUAUUGUCCAAUACACUUCUUUCGAUCAGGGACGAAAGUUAGGGGAUCGAAGAUGAUUAGAUACCGUCGUAGUCCUAACUAUAAACGAUACCAACAAGAGAUUGGUAGUGAAACCAUUUAAGAUCCUCUCAGAAUCCAAGGGAAACCUAAAGUCUUUGGGUUCUGGGGGGAGUAUAGUCGCAAGGCCGAAACUUAAAGGAAUUGACGGAAAGGCACCACCAGGAGUGGAGUUUGCGGCUUAAUUCGACUCAACGCGGGAAAACUCACCAGGUCAGGACAAAGGUAUGAUUGACAGGUUGAAAGUCUUUUCUUGAUUCUUUGGAUGGUGGUGCAUGGCCGUUCUUAGUUCGUGGAGUGAUUUGCCUUGUUAAUUCAGUUAACGAACGAGACCUUAACCUACUAAAUAGGCUGUAGGCCAGCUUUCGGGCUGGUCAGUUUUUUUGAGGUGGUUUGUAUGAACCGCUUCUUGAAACCUAUAAUCUGGAACUUUGCUUCGGUAGAGUUCUUGCUUCUUAGAGGGACAAUACUUCGUUUAUAUUAGAGUAAGGAAGUUUAAGGCAAUAACAGGUCUGUGAUGCCCUUAGAUGUCCUGGGCAGCACGCGUACUACACUGUUAAUACUAACAAGUCAGUACAAUGUGAAUACUUCUGUGUUCACUGGCCUUCUCCUUAAGGGAGUGGGAAAUCUUUUCAAACAUUAACGUGACAGGGAUAGCUGUUUGGAAUUCCAUCUUGAACGAGGAAUUCCUAGUAAUCGCGAUUCAUUAUAUCGCAUUGAUUACGUCCCUGCCUUUUGUACACACCGCCCGUCGCUCCUACCGAUGGAACAAAAAGGUGAAUUUGACGGACUUGAGCUUUGGCUUGGGGAAAUUAACUGAACCUUUUUGUUUGUAGGAAGGAGAAGUCGUAACAAGGUCUCCGUAGGUGAACCUGCGGAAG